UCCGGUAUAAACUUAUCCUAUGUGGCAGCCGGAAGCGUGACUAGGCAGCCGGAAUACAAAACGUCGUUUUGUGUGUGGCGAAAAAAAAUUAAAAUUUCGCUGCAACCUUGAAGGUAUAACUCGAAUUUGUCGGCGAACUCGGUAGAAAAAUCUCGGAUCUUGCUGGUUUUGAUAUUAGAUUCGGCGACUGAGGCAUUCCACUAUCGGAGAUAAAAGCAGGAUAGCGUGGAUGCAGGGGAGCCAGAACCCAGGAAGCCAGCCUCGCAGCAGCGUCCGAAGAAGCAAACGGAGCCAUCCACACGCACGUUGAGGCCGAGAGAUCGCAUCAAGCCUCCACGGAAGCUCGAUAGCUGAGACGGAGAAAGCUACGGCAUUUUUUUAGCGUUUUUGUCUAUUUUUUGGUUUAGUUGGUUUAACUUUGGAUUUAUUUUGUUUACCUUAUUUUAUUUUAUUUGUUAUUGAGUCGGGAGAUUUAUAAGCCCCGUUCGGGUUUUCUUAGUUGGUUCUUUCCCGAACGUAUUAGGUUUACGUCGAACCAACCCUAGGGUUUUAGUAUAAAUAGAGCCACAAUGUAAUUAAUCGAUCAUCUAUGAAAUAUUAUACAUUGGCUCAAUUUCUUUAGCAACAAGAAAUAAUACCCUCAGGCUGCCGACGAGGUAUUCCUCGCGCUCAGCCGCCCUUUGCCGUCAACGUCGCCGACCCAAGCGUUGGGCGCUCGAUCUUGACGACGACCGUUUCUUGAUUGUGCUCGUAGAAUUCACGUUAAGGAAGACGAUCCUUAACACCCUCCCUCCCACCACUAUUUGACCUCUACAACCACAUACCCAUAACCACGAGACACAGAUUCGGCAGUGAUCGCGCGCGAACCGCCGUCUAUCGCAACACUGCUGGGGAGCUGGCGUUGGUGGAUGUUGGUAGAAUCGGCAAUGAUGAGCGGAAGCAGGUUUUGGAUAAACUGAUUGCCGCUGUAAAUGAAGAUAUGGAGGGUAUUUUGAGAAGAGUUAGGCAGAGAUUUGAUGUUGUAGGCCUGGAAUUUCCAAAAGUCGAGGUUCGGUUUGAGAAUCUGAAGGUCGAUGCUUUAGUUCAUGUCGGAAGCAGAGCUCUGCCGACUAUACCUAAUUUCAUUUUUUACAUGACUGAGGCCUUCUUGAGGAAGCUCAGAAUUUUCUCUGGUGGAAGACGAAAAGAAACACCUGCAAAAGAAAACAAUGAUACCCGAUGGACUUCCCUCGGAUAUCACCUUUCGCUUCCCAUCAGCCGCCAUCGGAGCUGUUGUUGUACCAAAAUGUGUUUAUGAUGGACUUAUGGUGAAGUGAAUGGAUGAAGCGUGUUUAUAUGGUGGGAAUUGUGGAGAAGGUGGCGCCAAAGACAGACAAUGAAGGCGCCAUUUUGCUGUCCAUAAAGGAAGACAGAUGGUUUUGUGGAUAUUUCACUCAAAAAAGUAGGGAUAUUUUUGGCAUCACAAUAACUUCUAUGAUUAUGGAAUGCCAUAUCUAUAGCUUACCAAACAAUGGAUUAAGUCUGAAAUUAUGCUGUACCAAACACCUAAUUACUCAGAAUUUAGAAUUACUGUUAAUGAGAAAAA